rnacentral:rRNA from 1 species
CACGUAGGGGGCGAGCGUUGUCCGGAUUUAUUGGGCGUAAAGAGCUCGUAGGCGGCUCAGUAAGUCAGGUGUGAAAACUCCAGGCUCAACCUGGAGACGCCACUUGAUACUGCUGUGGCUAGAGUCCGGUAGGGGAGCAUGGAAUUCCUGGUGUAGCGGUGAAAUGCGCAGAUAUCAGGAGGAACACCGAUGGCGAAGGCAGAUCUCUGGGCCUUACCUGACGCUGAGGAGCGAAAGCUGGGGGAGCGAACAGG